rnacentral:rRNA from 1 species
ACGUAGGAGGCGAGCGUUAUCCGGAAUUACUGGGCGUAAAGCGCAUGCAGGCGGUUUUUUAAGUCGGAUGUGAAAUCCCUGAGCUUUACUUAGGAAUUGCAUUCGAUACUGGGAAGCUAGAGUAUGGGAGAGGAUGGUAGAAUUCCAGGUGUAGCGGUGAAAUGCGUAGAGAUCUGGAGGAAUACCAGAGGCGAAGGCGACACCCUGGGCCGUACCUGACGCUAAGACGCGACAGCACGGGGAGCGAACGG